UGUGCUGGAAUGGUGUAUGUCAAAAAAGUUACUUGGAAACAGUAACACAACACAUUUACUAGUCACCUUUCUGCCUGGAAGAUACAGGAUCCCCAUCCACAUCAGCUGCUCAGAGUUGGCAUGGUGCCAGCUUCCUUUCUAGGAAUUCAUCUGUCCCAACCACACAAAAAUAAAAAUGCAAAUACCUUCUGGCAUGAUGAAAAAUAAUGCAAUGAUUUUCACAUUUUGGAUGAUGCUUAAAAAUCAACAGGGGCCAUUGUAAAGACUCUUCCAAGCAUCUUUAAAAAGGACUGACAUGUCAUCAUUUUGUUGGGAGUUUUCAUCCCUUUUUCAUUCCACCUUGUAAUUUUCCUUCUGGACCAGUUAGCAAAAAAAAAAAAAAAAAAAAAAAAAAGCAGCAAUAAAAGAAAGCCUUAAGAAAACACUCCCAUGUCUCAUAGUUAGCCAGAGGUUUCUGAAAUGGUCACUUCCUGCCUAAUCCUGGCCUCACAUCCUUAUUCAGGUGCCUGAGUUGGGUUGGGGCUCCUUGGUUAAGAAAGCAAGGGCAU
rnacentral:lncRNA from 1 species